rnacentral:rRNA from 1 species
AUUUAGAGGAAGUAAAAGUCGUAACAAGGUUUCCGUAGGUGAACCUGCGGAAGGAUCAUUACCGAGUGAGGGCCCUUUGGGUCCAACCUCCCACCCGUGUUUAUUUACCUUGUUGCUUCGGCGGGCCCGCCUUAACUGGCCGCCGGGGGGCUUACGCCCCCGGGCCCGCGCCCGCCGAAGACACCCUCGAACUCUGUCUGAAGAUUGUAGUCUGAGUGAAAAUAUAAAUUAUUUAAAACUUUCAACAACGGAUCUCUUGGUUCCGGCAUCGAUGAAGAACGCAGCGAAAUGCGAUACGUAAUGUGAAUUGCAAAUUCAGUGAAUCAUCGAGUCUUUGAACGCACAUUGCGCCCCCUGGUAUUCCGGGGGGCAUGCCUGUCCGAGCGUCAUUGCUGCCCUCAAGCCCGGCUUGUGUGUUGGGCCCCGUCCUCCGAUUCCGGGGGACGGGCCCGAAAGGCAGCGGCGGCACCGCGUCCGGUCCUCGAGCGUAUGGGGCUUUGUCACCCGCUCUGUAGGCCCGGCCGGCGCUUGCCGAUCAACCCAAAUUUUUAUCCAGGUUGACCUCGGAUCAGGUAGGGAUACCCGCUGAACUUAAGCAUAUCAAUAAG